CCUACGGGCGGCAGCAGUAGGGAAUCUUCCACAAUGGACGAAAGUCUGAUGGAGCAACGCCGCGUGUGUGAUGAAGGGUUUCGGCUCGUAAAACACUGUUGUAAGAGAAGAAUGACAGUGAGAGUGACAAGUUAGUGUGUGACGGUAUCUUACCAAAAAGGAACGGGUUAAUACGUGCCAGCAGCCGCGGGAAUACGUAUGGUGCAAGCGGUAACCGGAUUUAUUGGGCGUAAAGCGAUCGCAGGCGGUUGUUUAAGUCCGAAGUGAAAGUCCACAGCUUAACUGUGGAAGUGCUUUGGAAACUGGAUAACUUGAGUGCAGAAGAGGAGAGUGGAACGCCAUGUGUAGCGGUGAAAUGCGUAGAUAUAUGGAAGAACACCAGUGGCGAAGGCGGCUCUCUGGACUGUAACUGACGUUGAGGCUCGAAAGUGUGGGUAGCAAACAGGAUUAGAUACCCUUGUAGUC
rnacentral:rRNA from 1 species